GAGAGGAGCGGAAGGAGAGGAGCGUAUAACAAGCUGGGGGCGAGAGCAGGUUAUGUUCAGGGAAAGUAUGAUUCACUGUGGAAGACUUAUAGCCUCAAAAAAGCUCUUCCUCCAACUUUGGGGCCGGAAACGUAGUAAGACUUGUAACCUCAAUUUGCCUCGACCGAAACAUACCGAAAAGGAUACACGGUUAGGUCAGAACACUAUAUCUACACAGUAGAGAGAGUCGUACUGUUCAAGUGUCCAUAAGACGAAAACUACUUGAAGGAGGUGUGGACGUCACUGUUCUUUUGCGACUUCUUCACCAAGAAGUAGCUGUUCUGUCACCCGAUUCUUUUAGGACGACUUUCUCUCUGCUGGUGGCAUGACUGGUGUGAAAAAGAAGCAGGCUGGGCUACCUAAACUCGUUGCCGAGUGGCCAGUAGUCACUAGGCUACAGUUACUCGGUCAGCAACUACCCUCACGACGGAAGGUUGUACUACGGCAAAAGUCAGUCCGGGCCUCCAAUGAGGCCGCGACCACCGCGGCCGCAUUUGCAGUCAUCCGCGUUCUAGCUCCUCCAGGAGCACUCGCCCGACGACCUACGAUACUUUAGGAGCAGCGGUGCAUUCUUCGUGUUGCACCAGAAGCCGCUCCUUUUGAACGGACUUCUUCUAGGACGGAUGUCAUGUACCUACCGUUUUACGGGAAGACGAGACCGAAGGAAGUUCGUCUAGCAUCGGUCACGUGUUCCGUUCUUCUAACGCCAGAAGAACCUGAUGCUACCGUGGGACAGAGGCUAGCAGCUGCUGGGACUUUUUCGGCAGUACAGGGGACACUACUCUCGACGGCACUCUUUGCAGCGGUUCAUGAAGGGACGACGGUAGCAGUCGCCUUCCAGGGCCUUCUUCCAAGAACUUAAGCAUUUUGACUUCCUUGAGACGAUACGACCAUCAGUACCCUACCUGUAUUACUGUAGAAGAAGUCGUGUAAUACUUGCGUUACGACUUUUCCCGUUUCUUCGGUUGGAGAAGGUUGGACGAGCGCUAAAAGACGGAUACUAGCUACUCCAAAGGUUCCAGGAGAACCUUCAGUGCUCGGCUUAGCUUCCGCGUUCGCAACUCCUGUUGUUCAAGACGCACAGACAUGUAAUGGCGUUGCACCUGCUCUUCCUGACCCUCGACCAGCGUGCCGAGCAUUUGCUUCACGACCUCCUGAAGGGGGCAGAGUUUCACUGGUUGCCUGCUUACCAAAAUCUCCAAGCAGGUCACUAGCUGACCCUGUUCCCCUUCCGGCAGCUCAAGGACGAAGUCAGCGAGCCCGACUCGCUGAGGCUCUUUCACUAGGGAUAGAUGUAGCCGCUGCUGGCGUGGCUGCUUCUGCGCAAGUUCCACGAAGCCCUCUCCUUGACGCCUAUGCCCUAUGACCAGAGCGUCCGCGGGUUCCUUUGGCUCCGGAAGAUGAGCGAGUCCCUGGGCAGACUUCACUACCUCAAGGACUUGAGGAACCACUCUACCUUCUUCGUGAGCGAUACUUGUUUGUCCUCUACUGACAUCAAAGGCUCCGCUGUCAAAACGUCGCAACCUUUGGUAUCGGGAUCAGCUACGUCGUGUGCCCUUAUCAACCGCUUCGCCUUGUCGUGGCUCACUUAUCGGGUACCGGCUUUCGCACUUGCAUCGGUCGUUAUCCAUCUUCUGCGGGUCUUCCGAUGGCCGUGAUCUCUACCGGCCGUAGUUGGUCGCUGACCAGCCACAUCUCGUCGUCCUUCGGCGGCCGUGUAGGAACGCCACCGGCCGACACCACUACCGGAAGACUAGGGAAAUACGUGGGAAAAUCCUAGCCAUCAAUCCUCAAACAACCCCCAAUUGGGUACAUACGCACACAGUAACGGGUUCCCCGUGGUGGAGGAGAAAAAUAUGAACUACGAUUCUCUGUCCCUGG
rnacentral:rRNA from 1 species